rnacentral:tRNA from 1 species
ACCUGGGUGGCUCAGUCGGUUGAGCGUCUGACUUCGGCUCAGGUCAUGAUCUCGCGGUUUGUGGGUUCAAGCCCCGCAUCAGGCU